rnacentral:rRNA from 1 species
UACGUAGGGUGCAAGCGUUGUCCGGAUUUAUUGGGCGUAAAGAGCUCGUAGGCGGCUUGGCAAGUCAGGUGUGAAAACUUCAGGCUCAACCUGGAGAUGCCACCUGAUACUGCUAUGGCUAGAGUCCGGUAGGGGACCACGGAAUUCCUGGUGUAGCGGUGAAAUGCGCAGAUAUCAGGAGGAACACCGGUGGCGAAGGCGGUGGUCUGGGCCGGCACUGACGCUGGAGGAGCGAAAGCGUGGGGAGCAAACAGGA